rnacentral:rRNA from 1 species
CCUACGGGAGGCAGCAGUGAGGAAUAUUGGUCAAUGGGCUUACGCCUGAACCAGCCAAGUCGCGUGAGGGAAGACUGCCCUAUGGGUUGUAAACCUCUUUUGUCAGGGAGCAACGCCGGCUACGUGUAGCCGGACUGAGAGUACCUGAAGAAAAAGCAUCGGCUAACUCCGUGCCAGCAGCCGCGGUAAUACGGAGGAUGCGAGCUUUAUCCGGAUUUAUGGGGUUAAAGGGGUGCGUAGGCGGAAUGCCAAGUCAGCGGUAAAAUCGCGGGGCUCAACCUCGCUCCGCCGUUGAAACUGGCGUUCUUGAGUGGGCGAGAAGUAUGCGGAAUGCGUGGUGUAGCGGUGAAAUGCAUAGAUAUCACGCAGAACUCCGAUUGCGAAGGCAGCAUACCGGCGCCCAACUGACGCUGAAGCACGAAAGCGUGGGUAUCGAACAGGAUUAGAUACCCUAGUAGUC